CACAGACUGUCACCUAAGGCUGGAAACAAACUUGUGUCCCAGGUGCUAUGAGGCAACAGUGUUAACCACUGGAUUAGGGAUGCCCAUGACUGAGCAAUACAAAAUGGCCGACAGCUGUCCAUGGUUCAUGCAGCAGAACAUGGCUGAUAGUAAUUAGAGAGUUUGGGAAAAUACUUGUUACAUGUAGUCUUUCACAAGAAGAACAAUAGUAGCUCUGUAGACCCAAGGUAACAGAACUGAAAUAGAAUAUACUGUUGCAGUUGUUUAUGUAUAAGACAUAAAUAAGAACAUUUCACUCUAUAUUUAAUUAGUGAAUCUCUCUUGAAUUAUUUAAUCAAUCUCUUACUAAUGGUAGGUUUUAGUUAAUAUCCUUCAAAUAAUCAUUCAUAUAGAUUCUGAAGUAGUUAUAUAUUUACCUAUAUACAAAACACUAAAAGCUUUAGAGGAAAUGAUUCAAAUAAAAUUAUGAGAGCAAACCAGUCUCAAAUGUAUAAGCAGCCCCCAUAUCAUUACAGGGUGAAAUGAAUCAUAGGUAUAGAAACUAGCAGACAUUGGAAUGUGGGAUGAAUGAACACAUUUGUAAGACACCCAAGGAUAAAGAUUGGGGUGCCCACAAAUAUCUGGUAAGAAAGGAUAGAAUAUACUAUUGCAAUUGUAUAUGUAUAAGACAUACGUAAGAACAUUUCACUCUACAUUUAAUUAGUGAAUCUUUCUUGAAUUAUUUAAUCAAUCUCUUACAAUACUAAUAGUAGUAGGUUUUAGUUAAUAUCCUUCAAAUAAUUAUUUAUAUAGAUUCUGAAUUAGUUAUAGAGUCACCUAUAUACAAAAAAAUCACUAAAAGCAUUCGGGGAGAAGAUUCAAAUAAAACUGAGACCAAACCUGUCCGAGUGUAAAAGCAGCCCCAACAUCAUUACAAGGAGAACUGAAUCAUAGAUACAGAAACUAGCAAACAUUUGAAUGAGGGAUGAAUGAACACAUUGUAAGACACCCAAGGAUAAAGAUAAGAGUGCCCAGUAAAUACAGUAAGAAAGAAACUGCUCACGACUUGUUAGCUAAAGAAUUCUAACAUUAGGUGUAACCACGUAACUUUGUUGGAACUGAUAUUGUAACAAUUAGUAAAUAUCAAUAUUCUUUUGUAUUUCCUGUAAUGAGGAUAAUGAGGAAAUUAAAAGGACUUUAAGUGAGAGGCUAGUAUCUAAUUAAAUGGCAGAUAGCACAGUGCAGGUGGCAAAUGCUUGGGCAGGAAUGUACUUGAAUACAGGGUCCACUGUGAAAAGCCCCAAGAAGGGAGAUAAGAGUCUGGGAAACAUCAUGAGACCAUGGAGGACCAUGGGUUGACCACAAGCCUGUCCAUCUCUAUCUGCAUAGUCAUAUGAUUAGCUUCAUUGGAAAUGUAUGUAAUUAAUUAAUAAUAUGAUUCAUUUGUAAAUGUUAAAGACAGGAUAAAAAAUAUAAAAAUGCACAUUUUCCUCUGUUGGAUGAGACUUCUCUGGAUUUUCAGAGGGUUUCUUCUCACUUGUGUAAUUUCAAUGAACUCUGUUGCUGGCAGUGAACUCCUGAGUGCAAAGUGAAUCAUUUGGUCAUUCCACCACAACAAUUAGGUACUGCGAGCAAAGUAUGGGAAGCAGGGCCACUGAUGAGUGAGGAGUAAGGUUAUUUGAAUAGUUUAUAUUCGUUGUGAUCUGUCUGUCUGGCUUGCUGAGAGCUCUUGGCUAGCACGCCCAAAACCGAAUCCAAACUGGGUUCACUCAGUCUCAAAGAUUGGGGAUACCAACUGAUGUAGUUUACGGUUGGACACGAUACCCUCGCGGGCGGGUCAACUCAAUCAGAUGACAAUUUGUAGGGUGGUGACCUCUGGAUUGGUCGUCAUGAUAGGUCUUGGGCGAAAAAGGUCAGAGGUUAUUCAAAGGGGUCAUUAACUUAAUGUAUUUUGGCGUUGGCGCAAUGUGACUACCCAAAGCUGUGGCUGGCACGCGGACUCUGGGACUGAGGAGGACCACCUCGGGCUGGGAGGACCUUCUGGUUAGGCUACUGGAUCAAGUGAGAAAGGUGACUCUGAAGCGUGUGUGUUAGGCGCAGGGUGAUGUGUGCGUGUGUGUGCGAACACACUUUGGUCUAACGGAGCAAGCAAGGAUCGAACAAUGGCAGUACAGUUCAGAGUUGCUUUUUUUUUUGAGAACUACAUCCGGACGACUUGCCCACUCGCUAACCCUAUAUAAUGGCCAAAACACUCCUCACCCGUUUUCUUUUUUUUUACACCCGGAUGGCCAGUGACAACACUGCCCUUCACAUCAAAGGGCAGUGCUGUGUGAACACCCGUUUUCUAUUAGAUAUGAAUAAGAAACUAAUUGACCAAAUGAUUAAAGAAAAUUGGAAUCCCGCAGAUCCCGCCUAACAUGUGAAGAGAAUGGUGGGAUAAAGAAAAAUAAGGAAGAGAAGAUUUAAUAUUAGUCCACCACGGUCCUGUCAAAUUAAAGAGAAAUUCUUUGUUCAGCAGAUAUUUGUCAUAGCUGAGAUAUAUGGAGAUAAACUCCCUGUAAAUAACUUGGUCUUGGAAUGUGAAGCUGCUUUGUGCUUUUCACCCUGUUUCCUAAGUCUUGGAGUGAGAGAGAGAGAGAGACCAGCUUUUAUGUUUGACCAGAGAAUUGAAGAUACAAAGGCUUUCACCGAUGGAUACGAAAUUCUGAACCUGUCUACAGACUUGCAAUAUCACAACACAGUGAUGGAUUAGGCAUCCUCAACCCAUCAAGCCAUUCAUUAGCAACUCCGCAUUAGAGAACUACUGUGAAAACAUUCAAUGUAUUGAGUAUCAGAAAUUUUGAAACCACUAAGCCUGGUUACACUUAGAUACUGUGAUAAAAAAAUUAUAUUAAGACCCACAUGGCCUGGCAUUUUAAAACAUUUUAAAGGGAAUAGUUACCAGAAAACUUAAAAUGAUAAAGAGAAUACACACAGUCUGUGGUUUCAGUGCAUAAAAAUAGUUAGUGGACUUUGAGGGAGUAAACAGAAUAUUGAAUUUGGACAAAUUUACAUAGACAUAUAUCAAAUAUCUAAAAUGAGUUAUCAAGUAGCUUUAAAAACAAAAGGUGUCAUCUUGGAGAAAGAACAAACAAAAUAUGUUCACGCCUGAAUCAAACAGAAAUGUUUGACAUCUUUUUUAGAUAUUAUAAGAAUAUGUUCCACAGACUAUAAAUCUCUCCUGAGCUCUGGAUUUAGUUAGGUAGUUAUAGUUAAAUUGCAAAAUUGGAUGAGAUGAAGUAAAUAAGGGUGGAAGCUGAUGGUAGAAGACAAAUAAAAUUAGAAUAAUGGGUUGAAGUGGCAAUCGAGGUUAAAAUGCAUUUUAGUGAAAGGGAAGUUUAGGUGAGAGUACUAAACUGAUAGCUUUAUCUUGGUAAUGAUUGUAUCCUUGUUUUCCUUUUAAGAAAACUGAACUUGACGAUUGAGCCAUUACCUGAGGCAUUUGGACCAUACAUGGAGGGAUAAGUAAAACCUCAUUGAUAUUUUGAUAAGAUAAUACGCGAGUCAUGAUCUUGGGAGACUAAUGUAAGUGUGCAAAAGCAAUUAUUGCCUCAAGGUUAGAAAUACACGGCUUUUAAAGAAAUGCACUGAAGAGCCAACCUGAGAUGUGUACACCUACUUGACGAAAGGAUUAGUGUGGCCUUGAAGAGCACAAAAACAUAGUUUUAAUGAUAAGGCACUGACACAUAAUCCAUAGAGAAACUGACUUUAAAACAGUGGAAGUUGUAUUAGUGAAAGGGAUUUAAAAAGAAUUACAAUCAAAAUUUUUAAAAAAGAGCAAUUGGCUAUUAUGUCAAAAUGUUACAGAAAUGAAAGAAUGUUGAUUCUGGAAGGAGUGAUAUUGGCUGAGUGUAAGGGCCCAAGAAUGACAUACACAUACUACAUCUUGAGCAGUUGCAUAAUGCAUGUGCUCCAGUGUUUAAACGAAUAGCUGAAAUUGUAAUGUGUUAGGACAGUGUAUAUGAAGGAAUGCCAAGUUAAGACUUAGUGGUGUCAGAGCCUGUAGUAAGGGAACCCUGGGGAAGAUAAAAGGUGGGAAGUAUAAGCUGACGAUAAAGCCUGAUGAACACACUGUAAUUAGUUAGAGCUAUAUUGUAUGAUACAGUGUACACUGCAGCUCAGAUGGGGUACUAGCAUAUAAAGGUAGUUACUGCUCAAUGAUAGUCAUUCAUAAAAUUAGCAAAGAAGGAAAAGUGCUGAAGAAGUAUUUUCAAGGUGGAUGCAGAUGAAGAGGUCUGGGGAAAUUUUGAAUCCAUGUAUGAUGUUAUUUUGCUGUUAUUGAGUGAGGUGAUCUGUGGUUAGAGAACUACAAAAAACAAAUUAAGGAGCAUGAAUCUGAAUUUGAAUAAAGUGAAUUUUAGAACAAAUAAAUUAUCUGAAAAAAAAAUGUAGACAAUUUGAGCAGAUCAUUACACUCAAAAGAUUAAUGGAAGAAUGACAGGAGAAAACGUUGUGAGACAAGGGGUGAGAGAAAGAUUAUAUCCUGGGGAGACCAGACAUCAUCGAUGCGAUUGUGUAACAUGGACAAGCUAGAUGUCUGAACCCAUCACUCUGAUGGGAUAUUUUGGAGGUGAAAAAUAAAUUCUGAGCAGUAUCAGACAGUCACAUCCUGUGGUGAUGUCAUUUUCUGUUCUUUUUCUCAGGGGGUGGGAAAAGGGAUCCGUCAGGAAAUGAUGCCACCAAAGGAAAUGAAAUCGCCAACCCAAGGAAACCGAAACACAUAAAGAGAAAGCAGGCUUCAUCCGGAGGCUCACUGAUGUUACCUGGUAUGGUGAUGAAAUGUCUGAAAAUGAACCUUCCAGCUCAGUGAGCAAACCUACAACCUCAACCUGAGCUACAAAUCAUCUCAAAACCCUGGAAUAAUACUUUUAAACCAAAAAGAGAUAUUGUAUGAUAAAGCAUGAGAUUGUACCCAUUCUGCUCAACAUUUCGGGUAUCCAGGUGCUGGAAAGUUGCUCAGAUUGGUUAACAUAGAUUCUUUUUAACCAAUGUAGUCAUACAUUCAGCUGCUGAUGCCAAAGGAGCCACUAAAUUCAGAGAAUACAUACUUUCACUCGAUGCGAGGAAGAUAUUGAAUGAUAUUUUGACAGGGGUCAAUGUUGGGUCUUCUGUAAUUAAUUGAUUAAUCAUACAGGGUAUGAAUGAGCCUGUGCAAUGGUUGAGACAAAUUAUGAAAGAAUUGAGAGAGGGAGCUGAGGAAGCUCAGAUGGAACAAGCAGGGCUAGGUAAAAAGACAAAGGUACAGAUAGAUGGGUAGCUGCAAUGGAGGCACGUGCUAAGACAAUCAAUCACUUGAUUGACAGAGUACAAGAGGAUUGCACAUGUGGAUUUUGGAUAGUAGGCUAGGUAUGACAACACAACCUUAGCCCAAUCCAAAGGGGGCACUAGAUAACUGAUUAGAUUGGUGAUACAGAGCUGGUGCAGCUAAUCUAAUCAAAGAGGAUACUAGAUCACUAAGUUCUAAUGAGUUUAUAAAUGAAGACUUAAUAGCAUAAAAGGGCGUAUAUCAGAAAUCACCCAUGCCCCUACCUCCAACAGAUCACUCAAUCAGUAUAAAAAGGGAACAAGUAUUGUGUGUGAACCAUAAAGAUAUCAUAGAUUACAUUGAUUCAUGACACACCCCAAUUAUCGGCCAAGCUCGAUAUGAGGCACACCGAACAGUGAGAACUGGAAAUACUACCUGCUCCGCAAUGAUCUCAUAAAUCAUGAGGAAGUAGAAGCCCAAUUUAAGUGAACAGUUUUGGGAAGUUCAGCACAGGAUGGGUCAGAUAGUCAAACUUCACCAGUAGUCACAAAAAAACUAGACAUUCAUGAAGAGGAGAUAGACACCGGAGCAUCAGUAUCAGUUACAGAUUGAGACCUACCACUCACAAAAUAUAAAAUUUGGAUACAAAGAAAACAGAAGCAUAUAAAAGUCAGACUCAACUGGAUUAAUAAUUCCAAUGCAUUUUUGGGUAUAUAAAAAUUCAGAGGGCACGAUAUUGGGAAUAGAUGUACUUGUUGAGAUGAGAGCAUUAAUAGAUACCAAAGAGAAAUGAAUAAUGUGGACAACUAAUGGGCAAAAACUUAAGUUAGGAGGCAGUCAUAGUGUAGUUAGGAAUAUUGCAACAAUACGGAAUACUGCCACCUUUUGAACAGGAUCGGUCAGUUGAUAGGAAAUUCGGGUCAAUUUGCUCCGCAAUCUGGAAUAUUUGGGCUAAGGAUAAACAUGAUUAUGGGUUGAUAGAUACUAAACCCAUUAAUGUACCCGGCCUGUGUCUUAAACCACACAAGCAGUAUCUUAUCAAACUUAAAGCUGCAAAGGCAGUUGAAGAAAUCAUAGAGGUGCUUGUGCUUUGUGGGGUCCUAAGACCACUGUACCCACUACUAAUUCACCGAUGUGGCCAGUUAAGAAGCCAGCUGGGUCAUAGCAGUGAAUACUGGAUAAUAAUUUGACAGCAAAAUUUGGUUUAAGGGUUUUUGGUUGGCUGAAAAUAUUUGCAACAUGUAGUAUUCACAAGAAAAACAACACUAGCUUAGUAGACCCAAGGUAAACGAACUGAGAGAGAAUAUACUGCUGCAAUUGUUUACGUAUAAGACAUAGAUGAAAAACAAUUCACACUGCAUUUAAUUAGUGAACCUCUCUUGAAUUAUUUAAUCAAUCUCUGACAAAAUAAUAGGAGGUUUAAGUCAAUAUCUGUCAAAUAAUCAUUCAUAUAGAUUCUGAAUUAAUGUUAGAUUCACUUAAAUGUGAAAAAACAUCACUAAAAGCAUGAGGGGAAAAGAUUCAAAUAAAAUGGAGAGCAAAUCAGUCCAAAUGUAAAAACAGCCCCCACAUUAUUACAGGGUGAACUGAAUCAUAGGUACAGAAACUAGCAAACAUUGGAAUGUGGGAUGAAUGAACAUAUUUGUAAGACAUCCAAGGAUAAAGAUAGGGGUGCCCACAAAUAUGGUAAGAAAGAAACUGCUUACAAAUUGUUAGCUAAAGAAUUCUAACAUUAGGCGUAACCACAUAGCUUUGUUGGAACUGAUAUUAUAACAGUUAGUAAAAAUCAAUAUUCUUUUGUAUUUCCUAUAAUGAAAUUAAAAGGACUUUAAGUGAUAGGCUCAUAUCUAAUUAACUGGCAGAUAGCACGGUGCAGCUGGCAAAUGCUUGGGCAGGAAUGUACUUGAAUACAGGGUCCAUUGUGAAUAGCCCCAAGAAGGGAGAUAAGAAUCUGGGAAACAUCAUGAGACUAUGGAGGACCAGGGGUUGACCACAAGCCUGUCCAUCUCUAUCCGUGUAGUCAUAUGAUUUAGCUUCCUUGGAAAUGUAUGUAAUUAAUUAAUAAUAUGAUUGGUUUGGUUUGUAAAUGUCAAGGGCAAGAUGAAAAAAAAUCUAAAAAUGUAUAUAUUCCUCCGUUCGGUGAAGACCUCUCUGGAUUUUCAGAGGAUUUCUUCCCAUCUGUGUAAUUUCAAUAAACUCUGUUGCUGGAAGUGAA